CCGGAGACCAUGAUCAGGCACAUCAUGGAGACGCCGGUGACGGAGCGGGAGUUCCUCGAGCAGCUGUUCACCCUCGACCAGAAGCUGAGCUUCGUCAAGGAGCAGAGCUUCAGAGAGGCCAAGUCAUGCCAUGACGUUAACGACGUGUUAGAGAAGCUAAAGGUCA